GGAUCUGCUCACUUUGAACGUCACAUGAAAUAGAAAAUGAGCAACACAACAUGUGAAAAACACAAAGAUCUAAGAGAAAACUAUUUUCCCAAAUUACUGAAACCUAUCCUGAAUAUGAGGCCAAAAAUAAUAAAGGACAACUUCCAUACCUACUAGGUGAAACACAAAGAUGUGAAAUAAUCGCAGCUAAAUAUACACGUACAUGUCAAAACCUGAAGACAACCAGAGGAACACAAAUAUGAAACCAUCACACCGUUUCUACAGAGACAAUGUUAUUAUUGUUAAGGUUGGUAUAAUGUUUCUUUGUUUACUGUUGAAAUAAACAAUAAACAAUAAAGCCAUUUUGAAAUUGAAAAUUGAACACUGAAAAUUAAAAGGGAGAGAAUCAAUAAAUCAAUAAUCAUUUUUUCUUGAUCACUUCCUGUCAGAGCCGGCCCAGCCACUAAGCGACCUUUGCGGUGGCGAAGGGCCCCGUGGGCAGCAGAGGGCCCCGUGGGCAGCAGAGGGCCCCUACAGUCACUGCUUGUUAGUGGUAAACUAACAUGAAAGACAGAUCUCUAUAAUUCGCACCACAAUAAGCACUUUGGUUAUUUAAUGUAGUUAUAUACUAUGGAAAAUCAGCUGUGACCUGAGACUCCUGACCCUGACUGACCCUGAGACGUCACCAACAUCACUCGUUACGCUGAGUCCGUCAGGCUCGAUGUCUGACAAGAGAAGAUCAUAUUUUUCUGGACGUGUAAAAAGACAUCAGAAGAGCCUCUAAGAAGAGAGGAGGCAAGAAGAUAAAGGUCUACCUGUGGCUACUGAAGUGGAGAGCAGUACCAUCGUGGUACCAGCACACCUGUCUCUCCAGUUUCUGCUGCUCCAGUGGAUCCAGCUGACUGGACAUCAGGACUUAACGACCAGUUACACGUUGAUGUGGUGAGCGGUAAAACCAGCACAGGUUGACAGAGACAUUUAGACUUUUCCAAAAAGACACUCAGACAGUAAAAGUCUUUUCUAUCAUUACAUGUUUAGAUCACUCAUAAAGAAGCAGGUUGAGAAAAUGAUGCUGUCAGCUGUUUCCUAGUUUUUGUCUCUUAAACUCUUGUUUGGCUGUUAUUAAAGAUUUAAGCUUUGGUCAUAAUCA